ensembl:snRNA U6 U6 spliceosomal RNA
GUGCCCACUUUGGCAGUACAUAUACUAAAACUUGAAUGAUGCAAAGAUUAUCAUGGCUCCUGCACAAGAAUGACAUGUAAAAUCAUGAAGUGUUCCAUAGUUUU